rnacentral:lncRNA from 1 species
AAAAAAAAAAAAAGGGAGACUUCUAGAAAAGUUUUAUUUUUCCCAAGACAGGGAUAUAGGUCACUUUUUCACUUUGGAUGAUUAUAUCUAGAUGUGAUAACUGAGAUAUUAUAGUCAUUUGCCCUAAACCUAAUUAUGAAGAUAACAUUUAGGAUGGUAGAAUAGAGAUAUGGAAAUGGUCUCGGAUAACAAGAUUAAGUCACCAAAUACACCAAAUCUGAAGCCCUUCCUAACUCUGAGAUUCCCAUAGUAAGAUAUAAGUUUCCUUAUUGUUAAAGGCGGUUUGAUUCAGGGUUUCUAUUACUUGCAGCCCAAAUCAUACUGAUAUAUCAUUUUCCUUAUAAUUAAAUUCCCAUGUAGUCUGAGAUCUAAUUCUGGGCUCUAAACUGCUACAAUGAUCUAUUGUUUAUACUAGCACAUAAUUUCAUUUACAAAGACUUUGAAAUAAUGUUUUCUUAUUUGGAAGAGUAAGUUCCAUCCCCCACCACUAUUUUUUUCCACAGUGUGUUUUGACCAUUCUCAAAUGCUUAUUCUUUCAUAAUGAGCUUUCCUUAUAAGUUUCUUCUGAGAAUAGAAAAAAUAGAAGAUGGAAAAAAUUUGAUGUGCAUGCUGAACAUUGUAAGGGCCUUUAAGAACUAUCUAUAAACAAAACACAGUAAGAUAUUUUAAUUGAGCCACUUCUUUAUCAUAUUUUCCUUGACCAAUUAAUACUUCACAUUUUUGAUGGAAGAGAACAAUCAUUCCAUAAUCAGAACAGUAUGUGUUCCUUAGCUUGCAGAAGAACCACCCACUGAAAUAUGAGAAUUCUCCCACUUACAACAUCCCACUUAGACUGUAUAGCUCUGAGCGGUAAAUGCUGCAAAUCUAGAGAAAUAGUGAGUUACACAUUUCAUUUUUUUAAAACUCAAAAAGCCAAUAACUUUGGUGGUGAAUUCUUCUCUAAAUUUAUCAAUAAGAAUACUGACACUAUUUGAAGGAUUCUGUUUUAUAUUUUUAAACUCUGGUCUC